rnacentral:lncRNA from 1 species
UAGGGAAUAGCCACUAGAAGUGCAGCUUUUAAUUUCAACUUAGGAAUCCUUCUCGGUCUUCCUCCUUAUUUUGUAACUUCUGAUUGAUCAAGAAUGAAUAACUCAAAGGACCACAAACAUUUCAAGAUGUGAAGAAGAUGAGACCCAAUUCAAGAGAGUUUAAAGGGAACGAUGCUACAGGGAACGAUGGCCUAAUGAGGGUACACUAAUUCUUAGUAGUUUUUAAGGGGGCAAUGUAGGUCGACAGUAAGAAAGAGAGAAAAAAGCAUACCACAAGACUGAUCACGAACUGGGCAUAAAGUACAAUUAUAUCUGAUGUCCUUUCUAAAUGGUAAUAGCAGAAAAACUGAAAGAGCCUGAUUGACAUCGCAUACCAGCCAGGGAUUAUGGUGUUAAGCCAAAACACAUGCAAGAAAGACAGAAAAAAGCAGACCACAAGACUGAUCAGAUUGCCAAGUUUUGUCACAAGGAAUCAGGAAAUAAAAAAAUAAUUCCACAAUGACACGAAGAGAGUAAAAGGACAGUUAAAUGAGCAAUCAGUGGACUCGUGCUAAACCAAGACAAGCAAGAGGCAGGAAUAAACUUUGCAAGUAACCAUCAUGCUCUCCCUCACAAUCAUAAAAAGACCUGGGGGAACAAUGCAAGAAACAGAGUAUGGAGGCAGUUUGAACUAUGUGGCUAAGAGGAUAAAAUGGUGAAUCAUUCCCUCUACUUAACAAGUACAAGUAUCGGAUAAUUCCGUCCAUCGAGAUUUAGGCAAAUGCAGACAUGACUUGCAGGAUACUUUUGUUUAACAGGUACAAAUCAUUCACAGGUUCAAUUGCAGGAUACUUUUGUUUAACAGAAAUCAAACGGAAAAGGGAAAUAUGAAUUUUAUACAACUGCAUUACAAACAGCCCUAAAAAGAUGUAGCUUAGAAUAGAAUUCUCUCCUUCUAAAUCAAGCAGACAUGACUUGUGGUUGUUUUAAAGAUUCUCAACCAUUAUUUGGCUCACUUAUGCCUGCAUACUCUAUUUACUACCAAAGCAGUUAACCACAAAUAUAAGAAAAAAUACUUGCUGAUGUCUUCAUACUUGUUUGUGGGCUAAUAAAUUGCUUAUCUAUACCAGGCACUCAACAUAUGCAACUGAUUGAGCAUGACACAGAAGGAUAGCAAACGUAGGUAGAUGAUAUAAUACAUAGAUAAUUGUGGUACUGGUAUCUACAAGGGGACAAAGAUAAUGCAGAUAUCUUGGCGUAGUCUAUCGGGGAAUAGGUAGAUGAUAUAAUACAUAGAAUAAAACUAGGUUGGAUGGACUGGAGUGGUGUUACUGGAGUAUACCUAAUGUGAAGAAGGAAAACAAACAGCUAAUUUGAACAGAGAAAUUGUGCAACUAAUUGGUGAAGCAGGAAAAUCACAUGGUGGGCAGCAACAGAUUUUCCUCAAAUGAGUAUAGUAAAAUCAAAUGAAGACGGGAAAGUACUAGUUAAGGAAAAUCUGUUUAGUCACAUAACAGCAACAGAUUUUCCUCAUUUGAUUUUCCUUUGCAUAAACUAAAGUAGGGAAAAUAAAUUGAAACAGUUAUGUGACUCUGUUACUAAAAAAUAAAUUAGUAUGCAUAUGAGUCACAUAACAGAUUCAAUUUAUUUUCCCGUUUCCAAUAAUUAAGGUGAAUACAAUUUAGUUAUUUAAUUUCAGGAAAAAGAUGACUUAGCAUUUAAUAACAGUGAUUAAGCACAGGACUGAGAUCAAUGAUUAUGCAAAUCAUGUUAUCACAAAGAUAUUCAUCCUAGACGGAUGCUACAGAUCGGCACAAGGCCCCAAACAUGGCAAUAAGCCCAAUUAUCAACAAUACAGUGUGCGUAUCAGCCGCCAAUAAUUAUAUUUAGCUCUCGGGAUGGACCAAGUCACAAUCCCCAAUCAUAUACAAUCCCGCACCUGCCAUGGGGUGCGAGUCACGCCCUAACAUAGCGUCACGAUGUGAUAAACCGGGGUUUCAAACCCUCCGGCCAUCAUCUAUACAAACUACUCACCUCUAACCGGCCGUAGACUAGCCCGCGAUGCCCUUUCCUCUUUGAAUCGACCUCCUCACGCGUCGAAUCUAGCCAAAACCACAACGAAUACAUCACAUUACGCUAUAGGAUCAAUACCCAAUCGAAAAUAAUCGAAAAGCAUCAAUAAUUCCGAAAUUGACAAAACCCCAGCCCCGGGCCC